AUUGAACGCUGGCGGCAGGCUUAACACAUGCAAGUCGAGCGGGGUGAUGGUGCUUGCACUAUCACUUAGCGGCGGACGGGUGAGUAAUGCUUAGGAAUCUGCCUAUUAGUGGGGGACAACAUCUCGAAAGGGAUGCUAAUACCGCAUACGUCCUACGGGAGAAAGCAGGGGAUCACUUGUGACCUUGCGCUAAUAGAUGAGCCUAAGUCGGAUUAGCUAGUUGGUGGGGUAAGGGCCUACCAAGGCGACGAUCUGUAGCGGGUCUGAGAGGAUGAACCGCCACACUGGGACUGAGACACGGCCCAGACUCCUACGGGAGGCAGCAGUGGGGAAUAUUGGACAAUGGGGGGAACCCUGAUCCAGCCAUGCCGCGUGUGUGAAGAAGGCCUUAUGGUUGUAAAGCACUUUAAGCGAGGAGGAGGCUCUUUUGGUUAAUACCCAAGAUGAGUGGACGUUACUCGCAGAAUAAGCACCGGCUAACUCUGUGCCAGCCGCCGCAGUAA
rnacentral:rRNA from 1 species